rnacentral:rRNA from 1 species
AUGGGGUCAUGUCAACCAAAGAAUCAUGAGUUCAAGUUUACAAAUAAAAGUGGGAACAAUCAUCGCUUUUGCCGUGCUUGGUUUAAAGAAUUUCCAUGGAUUGAGUAUAGUGUGGAAAAACAUAAAGCUUUCUGUUUCGUUUGCUAUUUGUUCAAGGAUAAAACAAGAUGUCCCGGUGCAGAUGCUUUUGUGAAUAAGGGAUUUAAUAACUAAAACAUGAAGUCGAGAUUGAAGAAACAUGAAGGUGAGGUUAGUAGUGCUCAUGCUGAAGCUCAAGAGAAGUAUGAUAGGUUCACUACACCACAAACUUCAAUUCGGGAGUCUAUUGCUUCAAACACCUCAGAAUACAAGGCUUUGUAUAAACAACGCUUGACAUGGACACUCAAGUGUGUGAGAUUUCUGUUGCGCCAAGGCUUGGCAUUUAGAGGACAUGAUGAAAGUGAAGACUCACUAAAUAAAGGAAAUUUUCUUGAGCUUCUAAAUUGGCUAGCAGGAAAUUUUGAAGAGGUUGACAGGGUUGUUCUCAAGAAUGCUCCAUGGAACUGCAAUAUGACUCGCCAUGAUAUACAAUAAGAGGUGAUAAAAUGUUGUGCACAAGAGACUACUAAAUUAGUCAUUGAAGGACUUGAUGGUGGUCAUUUUGCAAUACUUGCAGAUGAGUCUAGUGAUGUGUAUCAGAAUGAACAAUUGGCUGUUUGCUUGCGUUUUGUUGAUAAGAAAGGAAGGGCGGUUUUAAGAUUUCUUGGUCUUGCUCAUGUUGAAGAUACUACCUCUUUGACACGAAAAGCUAAAAUUCAAAAAAUGCUUAUGGACUACAAUCUGACCUUUUCGAUGGUUCAUGGGCAAGGAUAUGAUGGAGCUAGUAACAUGAGAGGUAAUGUUAAUGGCCCGAAAAAAUUGAUUAUGGAUGAGUCCCCUUCUGCCUACUAUGUUCAUUGUUUUGCCCAUCAACUACAGUUAACUCUUGUUGUUGUUGCUAAGGAGAGUGGUGAUUGUUCUUGGUUCUUUCAGCAGCUUGCACACUUGUUAAAUGCUCUUGGUAUGUCUUGUAAAAAGAUGAGAAUGCUUCAGAUAUCUCAGGCUGAAGAACUCAUUGAUGCAUUGGAAUUGGAAGAAGUAGAAACAGGGAGUGGGCUGAAUCCGGAAAUGGGUUUAGGAAGGCCAUGUGAUACACGUUGGGUCUCUCACUUCAAAACUAUGAACCAUGUCAUCUCUAUGUAUGGUGCACUACGACGAGUCCUUCGCAAGAUUGGAGACGAGUACCAUGGUGCGGAGGCACAAGCGGCUCUAUCCAUAGAGACAAUAUUUCGAUCAUUUGAGUUUGUUUUCAUGGCACACUUGAUGCAAGAAAUAUUUGGAUACGAUGAGUUGUGUAGAGCUUUGCAAAAGCAAGACUAAGAUAUUGUUCAUGCUAUUGAACUUGUUCGUGACACAAAGUAUUACUUGGAGGCUUUGAGGACCGAUGCUGGAUGGGAUGAUUUUCUCACAAAUGUCACAUCUUUUUGUACAAAGCAUAAGAUCAAAGUUGUUGAUAUGGAGGGUCCUUACUUUCCCGUUGGCCGGCCUAGAAGGGGUUUAUGUAUUGGUGUGAUCAAUUACCACCACUUCAAGGUUGAUAUGUUUGUGGGUGUCAUUGAUAGGCAAAUAAGUGAGCUGAAUGGCAGAUUUGAUGAGGUAAACACAGAGCUACUUUCUUGCAUGGCAGCAUUCUGUCCACUUCAUCUAUUUGCUGCUUAUGACCAAGAGAAGUUGGUUAGGCUUGCUACAAAGUUUUAUGCUUCUGAUUUUACAAGUGAUGAACUUGCAAGACUUCCAUGGCAACUAAACAUGUAA